rnacentral:misc_RNA from 1 species
AUUGCGCGGCGAAAAAACCUUACACACAGUGUUUUUUGUUAUUACAAGAACUUUUGCUUUGGUCUGGACUAGAAAUAGUUUGGGCCAGAGGUUUACUGAACUAAACUUCAAUAUUUAUAUUGAAUUGUUAUUUAUUUAAUUGUCAAUUUGUUGAUUAAAUUCAAAAAAUCUUCAAAACUUUCAACAACGGAUCUCUUGGUUCUCGCAUCGAUGAAGAACGCAGCGAAAUGCGAUAAGUAAUAUGAAUUGCAGAUUUUCGUGAAUCAUCGAAUCUUUGAACGCACAUUGCGCCCUCUGGUAUUCCAGAGGGCAUGCCUGUUUGAGCGUCAUUUCUCUCUCAAACCUUCGGGUUUGGUAUUGAGUGAUACUCUUAGUCGAACUAGGCGUUUGCUUGAAAUGUAUUGGCAUGAGUGGUACUGGAUAGUGCUAUAUGACUUUCAAUGUAUUAGGUUUAUCCAACUCGUUGAAUAGUUUAAUGGUAUAUUUCUCGGUAUUCUAGGCUCGGCCUUACAAUAUAACAAACAAG